AGAAAUUUAGGUUAACUAAACCAAGGGCCUUCAAAGCCCUAAAAGAAAGUAAAAAACUCUCAAUUUCUG
rnacentral:tRNA from 1 species